UUGUUUGCGGGUGUAGCAUCAUCAAGAUUCACAUGCAAAUGAAACGGGAGAGUUGUUCUUUGAAAGUGAGAAUCUUGAUGAUGCUGCAUCGGCAAUAAA
rfam:Corchorus capsularis cultivar CVL-1 contig09977, whole genome shotgun sequence.